rfam:Gossypium hirsutum cultivar TM-1 chromosome 9, whole genome shotgun sequence
UGUUAAAAUUUUCAUCCAUUUCUAUUGUUAAAAACUGAUGCGACUGACGAAAUAACCAAAUAAUUACACGCGAUGUGCCAUAUGUAACUCAUGCUGACAUACAAGGAUUAAAUUUUAAUAGUAAAAAUAGAUAAAUUUCUUAACA